rnacentral:rRNA from 1 species
AUUCCAGCUCCAAUAGCGUAUAUUAAAGUUGUUGCGGUUAAAAAGCUCGUAGUUGGAUUUCUGCCGAGGAUGACCGGUCCGCCCUGUGGGUGUGCAUCUGGCUCAGCCUUGGCAUCUUCCUGAAGAACGUAGCUGCACUUGACUGUGUGGUGCGGUAUUUAGGACAUUUACUUUGAGGAAAUUAGAGUGUUUCAAGCAAGCGCACGCUUUGAAUACAUUAGCAUGGAAUAAUAAGAUAGGACCUCGGUUCUAUUUUGUUGGUUUCUAGAGCUGAGGUAAUGAUUGAUAGGGAUAGUUGGGGGCAUUCGUAUUUAACUGUCAGAGGUGAAAUUCUUGGAUUCGCUCAAGACUAACUUAUGCGAAAGCAUUCACCAAGGACGUCUUCAUUA